AUUGAACGCUGGCGGCAGGCCUAACACAUGCAAGUCGAACGAGUGGCGGACGGGUGAGUAAUGUCUGGGAAACUGCCCGAUGGAGGGGGAUAACUACUGGAAACGGUAGCUAAUACCGCAUACCAUCGGAUGUGCCCAGAUGGGAUUAGCUUGUAGGUGAGGUAACGGCUCACCUAGGCGACGAUCCCUAGCUGGUCUGAGAGGAUGAACAGCCACACGGGAACGGAGAAACGGUCCAGACGCGUAGGGGAGGCAGCAGUGGGGAAUAGUGCACAAUGGGGUCAAGCCUGAUGCAGCCAUGCCGCGUGUAUGAAGAAGGACGUCGGGUUGUAAAGUACUUUCCGCGGGGAGGCGUUACUCGCAGAAGAAGUUCCGGCUAACUCCGUGCCCGCCGCCGCUGUAAUUC
rnacentral:rRNA from 1 species